UUUCUAUAUUCCCGUCUUCAAAUGGGAAAUUUUUACUUAGGUCGAAUCUAAAACAUGAUCUUCUAUUUUGAGCCCAUGCUAGUCCGAAUCUAGGUAAAAAAAAUCCAUUUUCAAACUGUAUUUUGUCCUUUAUGUAUUGGCCUUCUGGGGUUUUAUGCAUACUGACCAACGUUAAAUUCAAAGUACCAGCUUUAGCUGAAACCAAAGUACGUCUGUAUUCAUCAAGUGACCUAUCAUAUGGUUAAAAACAAGAAGCAUACAGGAGGUAAAAGGAAUUGAAACUCCAUCGAAAACACUAGAGGGAAAAAAAACAAAAAAGACAAAAACCCUUUCCCUGUGACCCCAUGGCAAUGAAGUCUAUAUAGGGUUGGAUACAAGUACAUGAAAACGUCAAGUUAGUGAACGGUUUUGUCAAGGGUAGCUGUAUUACUGGCACAUUGCUGUAAAUCAGCCACCGAGAAUGAUCGCCAAGGAGAGAAUUUUUGCUGUGGAGAUGGCAACGAAGCUAGAUUAUUGUAAGAAGCCAUGGAUCGUGGAUGCAGAGGAGGAAGAUGCUGAGACUUUGAAUUUGAGCUAGAAGUGGAAUCCUCACUUGUGCUACCGGUACUCUCAGAGUUACUCAUAGCAACUGCUAGAGCCAAUGUGCUUCGACUUGAGCUAAUUGGUCUUUUAGAUAUCCCACCCCCAUUACUUCGGUGAGGGAAACAUCUAUUCUUGUCCAACACAUGACUGAGGGCAAGUAAAUUUCUGCGUCUCCUUGAGUAUGCAUUAUCUGGUUUUGCUAUAUCUUUAAUACAGGGAGAAUAUGAUGCCUCAGCCAGACUGGUGAAGGACUUUGAUUUACCAUUGUAAAAUACUGAUAUACCUCUCCUGCAAUCAAUUCAGUGUUCCAGUGAUCAAUUUAUUGUCCAUCUAAAUCAAAAGACAAAACUUUUGGCAAUCUCAAUCUCAUGAAAUGGAUUCUCUAAUCUUUUUUAGACAUCCAUCUCUAGAAAACAAGCUGAGACACCCCAGUUAAUACCUGGCAAGUAAUUAAGGAUCUCACAUGAAUAACCAGUAGGGAACACAACUGCUAUAAUCUUAUAAAUAAUUAAUUUAUGGGUUUAUCAAGAUCAAAUUAGUCCAAGUAACAAAGCAUCCAUGGCACUGCAAUCCUAUUUUCAAUUUCUCAUCUUAAUGGAGGUUCCUCGAUCUGCUAAAACCCCAUAAAAAUGAACCAUCUUUCCCUAUGUCCCAACUUAAUCUCUUCAUAUCUUCAUGUCGAGAAUUGAAAAUACUAAAAAAUAAAAAGAAAUUAAAUUUACCUCAUGGGCAAAGCCUCCUCCAAGGCAUCCAUGGAUUUAAGCGUUCCCUUGUACGCGCUUUGCACCUCAUUUUCCUCCUCACAAUUUUCGCCAUCCGAUGAAUCUCUCCCCGACAGAUCGCUAUUCUUUCCGAUGGACGAUGUCGUUGAUGAUGCCGAUGUGCUACAUUCAUUCACCUCCGCCGCCUCCUCCUUCUUAUCCACCGCUCUCCUCUCCGCCUGCGACUCGAAGAUCGCCGGCGUGGCGACGCACGCAAUCCCUCCGCGCGGAUAUCUAGAAGGUUCGAUCUCUUUCAUCCCUCGACUACUUUCUAAAGCGAUAGACAUAGCAACCAAAAUCUCUUCCUCUUGUUGAAAUUCGAAACUGUAAGAAGCAAAGAUGGGAAUUUGGAAAGAUGGUUUUGUCCUCCGAGCAAACGGAUUACAGAUUACAUAAAGAAACGAUUUGUUGAUUUCUGAUAAAUAUGCAUUUGCUUAGAGAGA
rnacentral:misc_RNA from 1 species